CCUACGGGGGACAGCAGUAGGGAAUAUUGCUCAAUGGGGGAAACCCUGAAGCAGCAACGCCGCGUGAAGGAUGAAGGUUUUCGGAUUGUAAACUCCUUUUGUUAGAGAAGAUAAUGACGGUAUCUAACGAAUAAGCACCGGCUAACUCCGUGCCAGCAGCCGCGGUAAUACGGAGGGGGCAAGCGUUACUCGGAAUCACUGGGCGUAAAGAGCGCGUAGGCGGGAUAGCAAGUCAGAUGUGAAAUCCUAGGGCUUAACCAUAGAACUGCAUUGGAAACUGUUAUUCUAGAGUAUGGGAGAGGUAGGUGGAAUUCUUGGUGUAGGGGUAAAAUCCGUAGAGAUCAAGAGGAAGACUCAUUGCGAAGGCGACCUGCUAGAACAUAACUGACGCUGAUGCUCGAAAGCGUGGGGAGCAAACAGGAUUAGAUACCCGAGUAGUC
rnacentral:rRNA from 1 species